rnacentral:rRNA from 1 species
CCACGGGGCGCUGCAGUGGGGAAUAUUGCACAAUGGAGGGAACUCUGAUGCAGCAACGCCGCGUGGAGGAUGACGCAUUUCGGUGUGUAAACUCCUUUUAUAUAGGAAGAUAAUGACGGUACUAUAUGAAUAAGCACCGGCUAACUCCGUGCCAGCAGCCGCGGUAAUACGAGGGUGCAAGCGUUACUCGGAAUCACUGGGCGUAAAGCGAAUGCAGGCGGUUAAAUAAGUUGGAAGUGAAAUCCUAUGGCUCAACCAUAGAACUGCUUCCAAAACUGUUUAACUAGAGUCUGGGAGGGGAAGAUGGAAUUAGUAGUGUAGGGGUAAGAUCCGUAGAGAUUACUAGGAAUACCAAAAGCGAAGGCGAUCUUCUGGAACAGUACUGACGCUGAGAUGCGAAAGCGUGGGGAGCAAACAGGAUUAGAUACCCCGGUAGUC